ensembl:lncRNA
AGAAAACGCGAAGAGCGCACUCAGGCGUGACAGAAAACCGCGCGCCCGCGUCCGUAUUACACACACCUCAAAACCAAUAAACUACUACGGUGUAUCCUCGAAACCCGACCUCGGACUGUACUCACCAAACCGUUUGAAUGAUGUGGAUAAUUGUACAUUCAAAUGUAAUUGGGGCAUACAUUGGGCAUUGCGCGACUGGACAUAACCAUUUGUUCACAUGAAACCCGGAGUCUACAGCUUGAUGACAGCACUAUAAUAUUCACCAUGAUGAAUGGCCAAAUAAUCUGGAGGAACUUUCUUACUCCAAGCCCCGAUGGAUUUUCCAAAAUGUUAAUAAACUCCAGCGACGAACACAUCUGGACAACAACUGUCGCGGAAAUAGGACGUCAAGACCCAAGGCUACCAAGUUUGUCGACGUACCUUGGACUUUUUGUAUGUUUACUGUUAUUUUUGAUUGCCGCGUUGAUCGUGAUGCUUUACCGAAUCAAACACAAAAUUGCUCCAUUGCCCUCGGAUAUGGAGAACGCUGGUCAUACGGAGAUGUUUCCAGAUCAAGUUGAACUGGCCGCCGUGUAGCAUCAUCAUUCGGACCAUCGCAGGCGCCCACUCGGAGGCGUCGUGCUGCCUCUCUCAUCACUUUUGUGCUGAUCAAAUUAGUCUAAUUGUUUUGUGAUUUAUAUGCUAUAAAUGUUUACACUUGUAAAAUCAUUUUACAUUUAAGCAUUUUCUUUGGCAUUUAUGCUAAUUUAAGACCUCCAGAGACAUGUUCCUGAAAAGAACAACAUCAUUCUUGACUAAAAACGUUCGAACAAUGUUUGGAAAAUAUUCGUCUAUCUUGUGAUCUCCUAAACCAAAUGAAAACGUUAUGUUAUGUCCUUAGUACCUGUCUUGUUAUAGCUGGGGUACUGUUUAGAUAAACAGAUGAUAUUGUAAAGUUCCUCUCACCUUUCUCAGUAGUAGGAUGCAACCUACUUUCAAGUGCCAGCUAAGCAGAAUUGUCAGCAAAUUCUGGAUCAUUGAAACAGUGGCAGUGCUGAACAAUUAUCAGAAAAUU